rnacentral:lncRNA from 10 species
CAGGCGUGAGCCACCACACCUGGCCCCUUUAUAGUACUUCUAUCUCAGUUUGAAUUUCCAAGGCAAAGCCAGACACCUUUUCUCACAAAGCCUGUGCUCUGUUGUUAGGUGUGGGCAUGAGUCUUGCUGUUCAAACUCAACUAUUUCAUUCAAAGUGACCUUUCGUGGGUUUACAAAUUCAUUGAGGUUGAAUGUGUAACUAAAUUCUAAAAUGUUAGUUCUAAACUAAGUUCUAAAAUGGUUCUAAAAAGUUCGUAUGUAAGGAGCACCAGGAGGGCUUGCUGAAACACCAGUUGCUGGGCCCCACCCCUGGAGUCUCAGGUUCAGCAGGUCUAGGGCGAGGUCGGAGGAUGUGCACUUCUAAUACGUUCCCAGGUGGUGCUGAGGCUGCUGGUCUGGGGGCCACAUUGAGAAACACUGACUUGAAUGACUUGAUGCUGUUGCUGGCCUGCUUUGUAAACUUCUUAGACCCUAUCCAGUAAUUGCCUUUCUUUUCUUUUCUUUUCUCU